AAUGAACGUUGGCGGCGUGGAUUAGGCAUGCAAGUCGUACGCAUAGCUUCGGCUAUGAGUGGCGCAAGGGUGAGUAAUGCGAAGGUAACCAACCCUGGUGUUGGGCAUAGCCGCGGGAAACUGCGGGUAAUUCCCAGCGACGUCACGAGAUGGCAUCAUCUUGUGACCAAAGGUGUGAUUCCGCUCUAGGACGGGCCUUCGUGGUAUUAGGUAGUUGGUGAGGUAACGGCUCACCAAGCCGACGAUGCCUACCGGGUGUGAGAGCAUGACCCGGCACACUGGAACUGAGACACUGUCCAGACACCUACGGGUGGCUGCAGUCGAGAAUCUUCGGCAAUGGGCGAAAGCCUAACCGAGCGACGCCGCGUGAGGGAUUGAAGGCCUUCGGGUUGUAAACCUCUUUCGUAGAGGAGGAAGGGGCCGUGAAGAACGGUCUUUGACCUAUUCUAGGAAGAAGCUUGGGCUAAGUUCGUGCCAGCAGCCGCGGUAAU
rnacentral:rRNA from 1 species